rnacentral:tRNA from 1 species
UGGGAAUUAGCGCAGCAGACUGUUAAUCUGUUGGUCACUGGUUCGAAUCCAGUAUUCCCAG